rnacentral:lncRNA from 1 species
UACUCCAAAUCCGCCAAGGACUUAGUGCCCACGAAGAUUUGAGAUUUGUGCAACGUGCUGUGAUAACGAUAUGAUCUGAAUCGUUCAUCUUGUAGAACUCACUAAAUACGUAACACAUACAAAAAGUCAAAUUGUUUGCACAAUGGGAUCCAUAUAAUUAGAAUAUAUUUGUGUUAUAGUUCAAUUCUUAAAAUUAUAGUUGUCAUCCAUUUUUCGAAAUAAAUAUGAUCUAAUUACAUAGUUAUAAAUGUUUGAUGAAUCUGAUUUCUCUAAAACAUAUAUAAUUCUUUAUGAGGGUACACGUGUCAAAUAGGCUUAAUUUUUUGUAGCAACAUAAUUUUAUAGUUUUUAUGUAAUUGUAAUUUUUACAUUAAAUUUUUUUUUCAUGCAUAAUCUGGGCAUUACAUAGCAUAAAAAUAACUAAGGGAAUGACAAACAAAUGGGCCUAACUGUGGGCCUAGACAAGCCGAUUGUACCGUCUUUAUGUGAUUUGGAGGUUUCCUAUUUUCUUCCUUUGUUUUUUAUGCUUUUGAUUUAUUUAUUUUUGUAGGACUUUUGAAAACCAUUGUGAAGUUUAAAACACUGAUCUUUCCGUUAUUAUUUUACGUUUUUUUAAAAAAAGCUCUGGAAAUUUUGAAUAUCUUUUUACUAUUUUUUGAAAAUAAGUUGUUAUUCAAAAUUUUCUCCAAAAUAUUUCCUUAAAAAUUUCAUGGAAGAAAUUGGAAGUGUUUGUUAUAAAUAAAAAAAUAAAAAUGAGAACAAACAUGAAUUACAUUUCCAUUUUUUGCUAACUAGACCAUUAUACUCAAUAAAUUAGUCUCUCAAUUCAAUUCAAUAGAGCAAAAAUAACAAGACUCAUGUGAGAUCACCUCUGUAGAUACAUUAAAGUUUGAUGUCAUAAUCUUACUUUUUCUAACAAGCACGGCUACAGUUAUACAAUCAAGUGAAUCUAAACUGCUCAUUUUAAAUUUUAAAAAAUGGUUUAAAUAGUCGAACUGCAAGAUUUUCUCUUACACUGGUUUUGAAACGGUACCUUGUUGUAAUACAGUACUGUAGAUCAUUGUUUAAACUUGUUGUUUUAUUAAUUGCCUUUUAAUAAGCGACUUUACAAUACUUUGACAAUUGGAGAUCUCUUCAUUGUCAAAAAUUGGAUUUGAAAAGAAAAAUGGCAAGUUUGGGGGAGAUGCUUUAACAUUACAAAAUUGCCCUUUAUAAUACAAAAACCACACCCGCCGGCCGGCCAGGCUCUUUCCAUGCCCCAUAACUAACUUAUGUUGUAGAACCAAAUUAAAGCCACGGUACUAUCAUACCACCAUAUUUUAUGAUUUUUUUUUUAAUACCUUCUUCAUGUAUGAGAGAGGGAGAGAGCAAAGGAAUAAUGAUGUUGUGGGGUUGAGGGAGGGGGAUCGGGUCACUGCAGCGAAACGACGUCGUUUGGCGUGAGUUCAGUCCAAAACGACGUCGUUUUACCCCAAAAAAAUUUAGCCCAAAACGACGUCGUUUGGAAUCUAUACAUUUUUUGGGUAAAACGACGUCGUUUUGGGCAAGGCGCACGCCAAAACGACGUCGUUUCGGGCCUCCCCGCCCGUUUGCAGGGAGAACCCUCCCCGCAGCAUCCCCAAAUCCGAGGGAGGGAGGGAGGGGAGGUUGGAUUUUCGGUUAGACUUGUAUUGUAUUUGGAUCAAGAAUUUGACGGGAAAAAUAAAAAUUAAAUGAAAAAAUUAAAAAUUCUUCAAACUUUUUAUAUUUUUUCUUAUCAAAUUCUUAAUUCAUACACAAUCUUAGAGCAUUCAACUUGGAUUGGCGAAGGAAGAUGAAGACUGGAAAAUCAUUGUCUUUUAAAAUCUAAUUGAUCUUUGACUUUGAACUUUUCCUAUGCCACUUUCUAGAAUAGGAGCAAGUAACACGAUACAAUUUUCAUUAAUUUUGGAUUGAAAUUUUGAAGCAAGGGAGGUAAGUGAAAUAUAGCCAAAACCUUCUAGAGGCAAAGUAGCUAUGUUAUCAUGCAUCAAGUGAGAGUUUGAUCAUGAUUGCGGGUUAAAAUUAUGUUGCUAAUAACUCUGGGAUUAAGUCUAUAUAAGGCUUUAUCUAAAUUUUAAUCGAGUCUUCUGCUAGUAGACAGUGAAUUGGUUCCUCGGAUUAAUUAUCUUUCUUGAGACAGUUAGACCAUCUCCAAUGGUUUGCCCCAUUUUUUCCCUAUUCCCCCAUUUUUGGUUGAAAAAAAUAGGAGAAAAACACUUGGAUCUCCAAUGGUUUCUCCCAUUCUCCUAUUUUGUGUUCCGCAUUUUUGAAUUGGAAGAAUGGUGGGUUGACUCCAAUUGUUUCCCCCAUUCCCAUUUUUUGUCAUUUUAGUCUAAAAUGGUAUUCCUCCAUUCUCCCAUUUUUUUGAAUUUGAAAAAAAAUAGUUUUGAUCUCCAAUUGAUAUUCCCAUUCCACAAUUUUUCCCCAUUCACCCAGUCUCCAUUUCUCCAUUUGCCAUUCUCCAUUUCUUUAUUUUUUA